UAUUAUGAGAGUUUGAUCCUGGCUCAGGACGAACGCUGGCGGCGUGCCUAAUACAUGCAAGUCGUACGCUUCUUUUUCCACCGGAGCUUGCUCCACCGGAAAAAGAAGAGUGGCGAACGGGUGAGUAACACGUGGGUAACCUGCCCAUCAGAAGGGGAUAACACUUGGAAACAGGUGCUAAUACCGUAUAACAAUCGAAACCGCAUGGUUUUGAUUUGAAAGGCGCUUUCGGGUGUCGCUGAUGGAUGGACCCGCGGUGCAUUAGCUAGUUGGUGAGGUAACGGCUCACCAAGGCUACGAUGCAUAGCCGACCUGAGAGGGUGAUCGGCCACAUUGGGACUGAGACACGGCCCAAACUCCUACGGGAGGCAGCAGUAGGGAAUCUUCGGCAAUGGACGAAAGUCUGACCGAGCAACGCCGCGUGAGUGAAGAAGGUUUUCGGAUCGUAAAACUCUGUUGUUAGAGAAGAACAAGGAUGAGAGUAACUGUUCAUCCCUUGACGGUAUCUAACCAGAAAGCCACGGCUAACUACGUGCCAGCAGCCGCGGUAAUACGUAGGUGGCAAGCGUUGUCCGGAUUUAUUGGGCGUAAAGCGAGCGCAGGCGGUUUCUUAAGUCUGAUGUGAAAGCCCCCGGCUCAACCGGGGAGGGUCAUUGGAAACUGGGAGACUUGAGUGCAGAAGAGGAGAGUGGAAUUCCAUGUGUAGCGGUGAAAUGCGUAGAUAUAUGGAGGAACACCAGUGGCGAAGGCGGCUCUCUGGUCUGUAACUGACGCUGAGGCUCGAAAGCGUGGGGAGCAAACAGGAUUAGAUACCCUGGUAGUCCACGCCGUAAACGAUGAGUGCUAAGUGUUGGAGGGUUUCCGCCCUUCAGUGCUGCAGCUAACGCAUUAAGCACUCCGCCUGGGGAGUACGACCGCAAGGUUGAAACUCAAAGGAAUUGACGGGGGCCCGCACAAGCGGUGGAGCAUGUGGUUUAAUUCGAAGCAACGCGAAGAACCUUACCAGGUCUUGACAUCCUUUGACCACUCUAGAGAUAGAGCUUCCCCUUCGGGGGCAAAGUGACAGGUGGUGCAUGGUUGUCGUCAGCUCGUGUCGUGAGAUGUUGGGUUAAGUCCCGCAACGAGCGCAACCCUUAUUGUUAGUUGCCAUCAUUUAGUUGGGCACUCUAGCAAGACUGCCGGUGACAAACCGGAGGAAGGUGGGGAUGACGUCAAAUCAUCAUGCCCCUUAUGACCUGGGCUACACACGUGCUACAAUGGGAAGUACAACGAGUCGCGAAGUCGCGAGGCUAAGCUAAUCUCUUAAAGCUUCUCUCAGUUCGGAUUGUAGGCUGCAACUCGCCUACAUGAAGCCGGAAUCGCUAGUAAUCGCGGAUCAGCACGCCGCGGUGAAUACGUUCCCGGGCCUUGUACACACCGCCCGUCACACCACGAGAGUUUGUAACACCCGAAGUCGGUGAGGUAACCUUUUGGAGCCAGCCGCCUAAGGUGGGAUAGAUGAUUGGGGUGAAGUCGUAACAAGGUAGCCGUAUCGGAAGGUGCGGCUGGAUCACCUCCUUU
rnacentral:rRNA from 2 species